rnacentral:rRNA from 1 species
GCGUGGAAGGGCCAUCGCACAACGGAGAAAAGCGCCCCGGGGGAUAACAGCCUGAGCCCCCCAAAGGGGCCACAGCGACGGGGAGGUGUGGCACCUCGAGGGUGGCUCAUCACAUCCUGGGGCUGUAGUAGGUCCCAAGGGUUGGGCUGUUCGCCCAUUAAAGUGGUACGCGUGCUGGGUUCAGAACGUCGUGAGACAGUUCGGUCCCUAUCCGUCGCAGGCGUAGGAAAUUUGAGAAGACCUGUCCUUAGUACGAGAGGACCGGGAUGGACGUACCUCUGGUGUACCAGUUGUCCUGCCAAGGGCAUGGCUGGGUAGCUA